GCAGAGUCAAUCUGUGGAACCUCUUGCCAGAGGAUGUUGUGAAGGCCAAAACUAUAACGGGGUUCAAAAAAGAACGAGAUAAGUUCAUGGAGGAUAGGUCCAUCAGUGGCUAUUAGCCAGGAUGGACAGCGAUGCAAACCCAGGCUCUGAG